UGAGAGAAUUUGUAGCUCCCGAAUAUUUUUGAUUUUGGUGAAAUCUACAGCGGCAGAAAGUUGACGUAACUCUCACGUUGAGGGUGAAUCACUAUAAAUCUUAUGUGCUUUUUUUUUUCUUUUAAUUCGUGUUCUUCAGGAAGAAUUAGAUCCGUAAUUCCUAACAACAUAUUUGUGUACUCAAUUUCUGUUCAUUCAUGUAUGUGCUUAGGUAUCAGUAAUGCAGAGUUUCUUUGCUUAAGUUACAAAAUAUUAAAAAAUACGGAGUUAGUCUCUAAUAUUGAAUAUUAUUCUGUUGGUUUUAUGGUGUUUUCAAUCAGAUUGUUUCGUAUUUUGUGUUCCUUUACUUAUUUCUAAAAAUAAGUUAAAUGAAUAUUAUUGUAUUAUUUUUUGUAUUAUAAUGAUGGAUUAUUCAUGUUUAACUACUGUCGUAGGUCAUCUGGACAGUCUGCUGCCGAACCAUGGUCUUCCCGGUCUUGUGUCUGAAAAAUGCGAGCGAAAAAUGCCUCACAAGGAACUGCGUUUAAUAUCAUGUUUUACUUUAAUGGUCGAAGAUGUUAAAUUCGAGGUGUCACCACUACGUUGUUUUAAAGACCAUGUUUGUUUUAAUGACUUAUCUAAGUUUAUUUUGGUAUAAUUUAAUGGUGUUAAAAUUGGUUCG
rnacentral:lncRNA from 1 species